rnacentral:lncRNA from 1 species
UUGACACUGGGAGAAAUUUAUGAGCGGAAGGUUGACUUUGAUAAUUUAUACUCUCUGAAGAUAGACACCAACAUACUAAAUAUACAAUAAAAUAAAAUGCUGGUUCAAAAUAUACAAAAUAUUAUAAACUAAAAUGCUGGUUCAAGAAAAUACACACUAAUUAUACAUUAAAGUCAUGUUCUAAAACUCGGCCGUCUAACCAAUUCCAUGGUAAAAAAACGGUUGAUAGAAGGUGAGUUU